rnacentral:ncRNA from 1 species
CUGCAUGACACGGGGUGUCCCGCCGAACGGCGGGGCUGAGACAACACCCGACGAACCUGAUCCAGUUCAUACCGGCGAAGGGAUGUCAGCGCAGUGCCUG